GACGAACGCUGGCGGUAUGCUUAACACAUGCAAGUCGAACGAGAAGUCUUUUAUUGAACCUUCGGGGGAUAUAAGAGACAGACAGUGGCGAACGGGUGAGUAACGCGUGGGCAACCUACCUAUCGGAGCGGGAUAGCCUCGAGAAAUCGGGAGUAAAACCGCAUAACACGGAUAUAUCGCAUGAUGAAUCCGUCAAAACUCCGGUGCCGAUAGAUGGGCCCGCGUCUGAUUAGCUAGUUGGUAAGGUAAGGGCUUACCAAGGCAACGAUCAGUAGCCGGUCUGAGAGGGCGAACGGCCACACUGGAACUGAGACACGGUCCAGACUCCUACGGGAGGCAGCAGUGGGGAAUAUUGCGCAAUGGGGGCAACCCUGACGCAGCAAUACCGCGUGAGUGAAGAAGGUUUUCGGAUCGUAAAGCUCUGUUAUUGGGGAAGAAGCAGUGACGGUACCCAAUGAGGAAGUCCCGGCUAACUACGUGCCAGCAGCCGCAGUAAUACGUAGGGGACGAGCGUUGUCCGGAAUCACUGGGCGUAAAGGGCGCGUAGGCGGUUUUAUAAGUCAGAUGUGAAAGGUACCGGCUCAACCGGUGACGUGCAUUUGAAACUGUAAGACUUGAGUACUGAAGAGGCAAGCGGAAUUCCUAGUGUAGCGGUGAAAUGCGUAGAUAUUAGGAAGAACACCGGUGGCGAAGGCGGCUUGCUGGGCAGAUACUGACGCUGAGGUGCGAAAGCGUGGGGAGCGAACAGG
rnacentral:rRNA from 1 species